rnacentral:rRNA from 1 species
UACGUAGGGUGCGAGCGUUGUCCGGAAUUAUUGGGCGUAAAGGGCUCGUAGGCGGUUUGUCGCGUCGGGAGUGAAAACUCAGGGCUUAACCCUGAGCCUGCUUCCGAUACGGGCAGACUAGAGGUAUGCAGGGGAGAACGGAAUUCCUGGUGUAGCGGUGAAAUGCGCAGAUAUCAGGAGGAACACCGGUGGCGAAGGCGGUCUCUGGGCAUUACCUGACGCUGGAGGAGCGAAAGCGUGGGUAGCAAACAGG